GACGAACGCUGGCGGCGUGCUUAACACAUGCAAGUCGAGCGGUAAGGCUCCUUCGGGAGUACACGAGCGGCGAACGGGUGAGUAACACGUGAGUAAUCUGCCCUUCACUUCGGGAUAACCGCCGGAAACGGUGGCUAAUACCGAAUACGACACAGUCCCGCAUGGGAUCUGAGUGGAAAGUUUUCUCGGUGAAGGAUGUGCUCGCGGCCUAUCAGCUUGUUGGUGAGGUAACGGCUCACCAAGGCUUCGACGGGUAGCCGGCCUGAGAGGGUGACCGGCCACACUGGGACUGAGACACGGCCCAGACUCCUACGGGAGGCAGCAGUGGGGAAUAUUGCACAAUGGGCGAAAGCCUGAUGCAGCGACGCCGCGUGAGGGAUGACGGCCUUCGGGUUGUAAACCUCUUUCAGCAGGGAAGAAGCGAAAGUGACGGUACCUGCAGAAGAAGCACCGGCUAACUACGUGCCAGCCGCCGCCGUAACAC
rnacentral:rRNA from 1 species